UACAGAGGUCCCGAGCGUUGUUCGGAUUCACUGGGCGUAAAGGGUGCGUAGGUGGUGAAGUAAGUCGGAUGUGAAAUCUCGGAGCUUAACUCCGAAACUGCAUUCGAUACUGCCGUGCUUGAGGACUGGAGAGGAGACUGGAAUUUACGGUGUAGCGGUGAAAUGCGUAGAUAUCGUAAGGAAGACCAGUGGCGAAGGCGGGUCUCUGGACAGUUCCUGACGCUCAGGCACGAAAGCCAGGGGAGCAAACGGG
rnacentral:rRNA from 1 species